rnacentral:rRNA from 2 species
UUAUGAGGCCUCGUAAUCGGAAUGAGUACACUUUAAAUAUUUUAACGAGGAACAAUUGGAGGGCAAGUCUGGUGCCAGCAGCCGCGGUAAUUCCAGCUCCAAUAGCAUAUUCUAGAAUUGUUGCGGUUAAAAAGCUCGUAGUUGCAUUUGUGUGCCGCACUGCCGGUCCAUCGCUCACGCGGUGCGACUGGCAGGCUUGCGGGGCAUAUCGCCGGUGAGCGCGCCGGUAAAACGGCGUGCUCAACUGAAAAUCCUCUCUCGGUGCGCUUCGUUGUGUGUCGAGAUGGGCCGGCAAUUUUACUUUGAACGAAUUAGAGUGCUCAAAGCGGGCUAUCGUUUGGAUAAAGGUGCAUGGAAUAAUGGAAUAUGAUCAUGGUUUUAUUUUGUUGGUUUUAGAGACCAAGAUAAUGAUUAAUGGAAGCAACUGGGGGCAUUCGUAUUGCGACGUUAGAGGUGAAAUUCUUGGAUCGUCGCAAGACGGACCACUGCGAAAGCAUUUGCCAAAGGUGUUUUCAUCAAUCAAGAACGAAAGUUAGAGGUUCGAAGGCGAUUAGAUACCGCCCUAGUUCUAACCAUAAAUGUUGCUGUCUAACGAUCCGCCGACGUUAACUCUAAUGGCUCGGCGGGCAGCUUACGGGAAACCAAAGAUUUUGAGCUCCGGGGGGAGUAUGGUUGCAAAACUGAAACUUAAAGGAA